UACGUAGGGUGCAAGCGUUGUCCGGAAUUAUUGGGCGUAAAGAGCUUGUAGGCGGUUUGUCGCGUCUGCUGUGAAAACUCGGGGCUUAACUCCGGGCCUGCAGUGGGUACGGGCAGACUAGAGUGCGGUAGGGGAGACUGGAAUUCCUGGUGUAGCGGUGAAAUGCGCAGAUAUCAGGAGGAACACCGGUGGCGAAAGCGACGGACUGGAUCUCUUCUGACGCUGAGGCGCGAAAGCCAGGGGAGCAAACGGG
rnacentral:rRNA from 1 species